CCAGUGACACCCUGUGUCAGAAAAAGUCUUCUAUGAUGUCAAAGGAGGCUCACAUUAAGUAAUGUAGAAAACAGGUUUGCCUAGGCUAUGCACUUAUGGGGCCAAAUGCACUUUUUAUUCUUAGAUUUGACCACCACAGAGAAUUAACAAAUAGAUCAACCUAACAAAGAUAUACUUGGUGUUCUUGUCUCUCGCCUUGGAAGUAUGGUGAGCUGUAAACGUUUCUAAACACUGUAGCUCAUUUCCUUAAUUUGAGUGAGUACCAAGAAGAGGAACACUAUGUUUCGUGCAGUCGCCGACAUCGAAUUGCCUGGAACAUUCGAGAAACAGAACAUGAGUGGAGGAGGGCCAGAGAGAGAGUGAGACACACAGAGCUGUCAGCACAGAGCCAGAUGCGGGGCUCGAACCCAUGAACCAUGAGAUCAUGACUUGAGCCAAAGCUGGAUGCUCAAAUGACUGAGCCACCCAGGUGCCCCUACAAAGAACUCUUGAAAUGCAACAAUAAGAAAGCAAACAACCCCAUUAAAAAUGGGCCAAAUAUCUUAAUAGACACCUCACCAAAGAAGAUAUACUGAUGGCAAAUAAGCAUAUGAAGAGAUGUUCCACUUUACAUGUCAUUAGGGAAAUGUAAAUUAAAACAAUGAGAUACCACUACACCACCUAUUAGAAAGGGCCAAAAUCCAGCACACUGACAACACCAAAUGCAAAUGAGGAUGUGGAACAACAGGAUCUCUCAUUCAUUGAUGGUGGGAAUGAAAACGGUGCAUCCACUUUGGAAGACAGUUGGAAGUUUCUUACAAAAUGACACAUACUCUUACCACACUGCACUGCUUGGUAUUUUUACCCAAAGGAGCUGAGAACUUACACUCACACAAAAACCUGCACAUCCAUGUUUACCGUAGUUUUAUUCAUGAUUGUCAAAACUCGUCCCUCAGUAAAUGAAUGGACAAACUGUGGUACAUCCACACAACAGAUAUUACUCACCAGGAUAAAGAAAUGCACUGUCAAGCCACGAAAAGACAUACAGGAAUGUUAAAUAUAUACUAUUAAGUGAAAGACCCAAAUCUGGAAAGGCUAUAUGCUGCAUGAUUCCAACUAUGUGACAUUCUGGAAAAGACAAUA